UACGGAGGGUGCAAGCGUUGUUCGGAAUUAUUGGGCGUAAAGCGCAUGUAGGCGGCCAUCUAAGUCUGGUGUGAAAGCCCGGGGCUUAACUCCGGAAGUGCACUGGAUACUGGACGGCUAGAGGACGAGAGAGGAUAGUGGAAUUCCUGGUGUAGGGGUGAAAUCCGUAGAUAUCAGGAGGAACAUCAGUGGCGAAGGCGGCUAUCUGGCUCGUAUCUGACGCUGAGAUGCGAAAGCGUGGGGAGCAAACAGG
rnacentral:rRNA from 1 species